rnacentral:rRNA from 1 species
UACGGAGGAUCCAAGCGUUAUCCGGAUUCAUUGGGUUUAAAGGGUGCGUAGGCGGAAUGAUAAGUCAGUGGUGAAAGCCUGCAGCUUAACUGCAGAACUGCCAUUGAUACUGUCAAUCUUGAGUACAUUUGAUGUGGGCGGAAUGUGUCAUGUAGCGGUGAAAUGCUUAGAUAUGACACAGAACACCGAUGGCGAAGGCAGGUCUCAUAACGGCUGAACCUGCAUACGCUGAGGCAAGCGGAAAGACAUGGGG